CAAGGAAACCUUAGGAGGAAGUGACAUUGAUCAGAGAGCCAGGUGGAUGAUGGACAGAGUAUGUGGAUGCUGGGGCAAGAGAGGGACUGGGCUGAGGGGAAAACCAGAGCAAAGACCCUGAGAAGAAGUGUGCCUGGCAUGUUCCAGGAACAGCAAGAUGGCCCCAGCGGCUGGGCCACAGGGACCAGGCGAAAGGAGUGGGCAGAGUGUUCAGUUCACGCGAGACCUUUUGGGUUGUGGGGAGAUCACAGCAGGGUAUCCUCAGUGUGAUGGAGACCCAUGGAGAAAACUGGCUUAUAUUUUUUUCUUUUCUUAUAUUUUUUAAUUGGAGGAUAAUUGCUUUACAAUAUUGUGUUGGCCUCUGCUAUACAUCAAUAUGAAGCAGCCACAGGAAUACACCUGUCCCCUCCCUCAUGAACCUCCCUUCCAUCUCCCAAACCAUCCCAC